rnacentral:lncRNA from 1 species
CCUAAUGAAAUUUUAAGAAGCCUCUGGGAAUAUUAACUGAGAAGAGAAAUAUGGUGCACACUCACAUAUAUUAGGCAUGAAAAGGAAAAGCUAAUUAUGUGUAGAUAUUUUGAAUGGAAUUAAGUAUAAACUUAUUUGAAUAUCUUUAGUCCUUUAUAGAUGUGUGGGUUAUAAAAUUACUCACACAGGAAAACAUAAUGAUGCCUACAGGAACAUAAGUAUUGCAGUUCAUAAAUAAUUAUACUCUCAAAUGCUCAUGGAAUUACUUAAUCAUAUUUGUGACUAGCUAUGCACUCACUAAAAUUUCCAAUAUACCCUCUAUGCCAGUGAAUAAUUAUGAUGUUGCCAAUGCAACAAUUUAAUACUAGGAAUUUAGGUGAUUUUAGUUGUCUUGUUUGUAGAAAGCUUAAUGUAAUUCAUGUACAAUUAAGAUAUGCUGCAGAGCCUAAGACGAUAAGAAAAUAGAAUGCUUGCGGGAUAGUUCACUUCGUUUUCAGGGGACAGCAUAAGCCAAGCUGAGAACAUAAUUUAAGUUGUGAAAAAUUUAUGUUCUUCAUAUUCACUGUUUUUGCAUCCCCAGCUGUAGUGCCCAGAGCCUAUAGGUUGAAUAGAGCCAGCCUAGUUGGUGUGUCCUGUCUACCUUGAGUCAUAUGGCAGGUAGAGAUACUUUUGAAUUUUAUUUAAAAUCCCAUGAUUGGAACCAUUAUCCUAUUCUUUAAUAUGGUCUCUUACUUCAACCUUAGAGUUAGAGACAUAUGCCUUCAUGAGUGAUGAUGAAUGUUUAAAUAAAGUCUGAAGAAAUGUAAUGAAACUCUUCAGGCCUAGCACUGAGCUGACAUACUAAAGUCAUUUGUCCUUUGUUUUUCUGGAACUAAGAUUUUGAAUUGUCACCCCCACCAAGAGCUUUGAUUCUGUCUCUGAAAUCAGAUUCUAGAAAGGAGAAAAGAAAGAAGUAACAUUGCAUUAAAAUAUAAGCUCUAUGAUAGGAGAGUUUUUUUGUUUGUUUAAUCUCUUUUGUUCACUUGUGUAUCUCUAGGGCCUAAAGUAAUAUCUGGAAUAAUUAUUCAUAAAUACUGUGGAAGAAAAGAAAGAAGAAAGGAGGGAAAUACAAAAGUUAGUAAAUUUAUUGCAAACCACCCACCUACCAGACCUUUCCACUAAUCUACAGGUUGGCCACCUCUAGUGCUUCAAUUUUUUGCCCAAACUUCUUGAUUUCUAAAGUUACAACUUUCCUAAACCACUUGUCUUUCCCUUGGAGGCUCUGGCUUCCUAUUUUUAAAAGACAAUUUAGCACCCAGUUACCUACCAAGGAUGAGUUAAGCAUCAGGUUUGUCCUGCUUUCCAAGACAUUUUUAAAUUAUGCUCCAGUUAAGACAUCUAAUGAGAAGUUAAACAUUCCAUUAAGUAGCAUGGACUAAGUGAUUGAUUAUCUUAAUUAAACCUUUCAGUGGCAUUAGUUAUAGAUGCUGAAAUUCCAAGACAAUAUAAGGCCUUUGGAGAAUAAGGAAAUGUCACAGGUAGGGCGAUGAAACUAAACCCAAGAAAUGUAAAGGAGGAAAACAUGGGAAAAAAUCAAAAUCAUAUUGUCAGAUGUAAAUUUAGUGGAGCAUCUUAUAUUUUUCAUUCUAUAGUCAGAGCCAUCCCUUAAACAAUCCUAGCAAUCGAAGAUCUUUCAUGUUUAAGGGGUGGAAGAUAAUUUGGCCUGCUUCUCAGCUUUGAUCAUAGAAAGUCUGUAGGUUAAGGCACACAUUCUUUUGGCAUGCAGAGCAGAAGACUAUCCUGUGCCAAAGAUACUGCCAAGCCAAUGCUCAAUUGCAUCAUGUCAAAGAGAAGUACUUGCUAGAAUUAAACAGGCAUGGGAGAGUUUAAUUCAAGACUAUUGCAAUAGGAGAGAGAGAGAGAGAGAGAGGGCUCCACUGAAAGAAAAGGUGGGAGGGUUCAUAAGCACCGAGGUGAGCUGGUGGAAAAAGCCUACAGGGCAUUAGGAAGGAGAUUGAGCAGGCCACCUGUGUUUGCUGACCGAUGCUCAUCAAAGUUAGACUCCUACCUCCUGACUGAGUCUGGGAGAUAGAGGCACUUCCUCUUUCCGUGAUUAUAUCUCAAAGGGAUGGAUCCCAGGUCCUCGUUAAAGAUAUCCCUGGGUUGUAAAAUUGGCCAGAGCUGAUAAAAGAGCUUUCUACAUUUCAAAGUGUCAGAGAUUGAAUGCAAUACAAAUUAUCUAAAGUUAAAACUCUGAGAAAAGGGAGUUUCAGAGUAUAUAGUCAGGAAGAAACCUAUCUAAAAUGUAGUCAUACCAAGGGAAUUUUAAGGCCAUCCUGGUGAAUUAGUCAUCACAAACAGUUCAUAUAAAGUCCUCGUGUAUUUUCAUUUCUCUUCACUCCUCUGAGUGAUGUACAAUAAAUCAUCAUUCACUCUACAAUUUUCCCUCAAAUACCUGUCAUGCCAGGUAUACAUGCCAGACACCGGACCUGAGGAUAGAGUAGGGAAUGCAUUGCAGUGAACAAACAGAUAGAAGAUAAUUACCCACAUCAGUGUAAAUUAUGUGUAAGGUAAAUCCACCAAUAAAGAUAUAUUGUGAUCUGAGAGUCAGUAACGGGGAGAUUUGACAUUGUCUGGUAUUUUCCCCUAGUUUCCAUUUUCCAUUUUGGCUGUGAGGCACCGCCUCCAUCCUGUUGCAUCUACAUAUUCUUGGCUUUCUGACACACCUAGAAGUCAGAUGACUGACACUAAAAUGUUAGACCCAGCACAUUACUACAUAUCAAAAGGAUGAUUUCAAGUUAUAUUCUUUAAAAGCAUUGAGGGGUUCCUGUAACAGUAUACAUGUGACCUAAAGCAUGUGAUGAAGCAAAACAAUCCUCAAAGAAAUAGUGGUAUUUCAAGGAAUUAUUUAAUGUCACCUUUUCUAGCUUUCAGACUGAUGCUUAGAACAUAUAGGAGUCUAGAGAAAUGGAAAAAGUUUUUUUGAGUCUCAGGAUUUAUGUAGAGAAUGUAGCCAGCUCCUGACAUAUAAUGGGUAUGCAGUAAUGUUAGGUUUUUUUAUCAUUAUCAUUAUUAAUGACUAUAUUCUUUAUUUUUAUUUUUUUGUCUUUUUGCCUUUUCUGGGGCUGAUCCUGCGGCAUAUGGAGGUUCCCAGGCUAGGAGUCUAAUUGGAGAUGUAGCCACCGGCCUACGCCAGAGCCACAGCAACACGGGAUCUGAGCCACAUCUGCGACCUACACCACAGCUCACGGCAGUGCCAGAUCCUUAACCCACUGAGCAAGGCCAGGGAUCGAACCCGCAACCUCAUGGUUCCUAGUCGGAUUCAUUAAUCACUGUGCCACGACGGGAACUCCCAUUAAUAACUAUACUCUUAAUUAAUGCUCACAAUAUUUCCUUUAGUCUUACUUGAGGUCAGAUGUGAAAAUUUCCUGAAGAGCAGUGGAAGACAUAUUUACAACUGGAUGCUAAAAAUGAUUCUGUACAUUACACUGAAAAACAUACCAAAUUCCUAGUUGGUCUGUCUGAAAAUGUCACAUUAAACAUCACAAGCUGAGGUAAAGACACAAAUGCUCAUAGAUUUUAAAAAACAUUUUAACAAGCAAAACUUUGCUCUAAGACUCAAACUCAUACCCCCCCCAAAUUUUGAUUACGUUGGAAUAGGUUAUUACAACCUUUCAAUUUUCCUUUCCUGAAAUAGGAAGUCUUCUAAGAAACAGAACCUUUAACAUAAUAUCAUGAUCUUUUCUAAUUGUGGCAAUUUCACUAAGAUUUUGGUGUAGUUGGGUUGAUUUAUUAUUUCCCAUUUUCUAUUCAGGUUACUGGAGUUCCCAUUGUGGCUCAAUGGGGUAAGAAUCCAACUAGUAUCCAUGAGGACACAGGUUCAAUCCCUGGCUUUGCUCAGUGGGUUAAGGAUCCAGCAUUGCCAUGAGCUGUGGUGUAGGUCGCAGACAUGGCUCAGAUCUGGUGUUGCUGUGGCUGUGGCUGUGGGUAAGGCUGGCAGCAGCAGCUCUGAUUCAACCCUAGCCUGAGAACUUCCAUACACUGCAGGUAAGGUCCUAAAAAGGGGGGAAAAAAAGAUUCAGGUUAUUUGAACAUGUUUAUGUGCUUAUUCAGGAUAUCAUUCCAGAAAAGCUUCCAGGGAAAAUAGCAAACAAAAGAGCUAGACACCAAGGGUAGAUGACUUUAGAAAAUGAAAGGAUUCAAGUGUGUUUUGGGUCAUUUUCCAAAGUCAUGGCAUUGAAUCAUAAUCCUUCAGUAACACAGUUUGUUUGAGGCUGACCAACUGUGCUCUCUGAAUGCACAGAAUCUAAGAAAAUUAAACCCACAUAGUUUCUAGGAAUUUAGAUAUGGGUCAUAAGAAGCCUUGCAGCUUACCUAAUUAAGGCCCCACCUUCAUUAUCGAAUCUCUGUUCUAACAGGGGCAACCUAGCCUAACACACACCUGUUUCUGUUGGCAGAUUGUUGGAUUUCACCAAAUUAGCAUUUUUAUCCAUCUAUGUCCAGUUUAUCCAUUCAUCCAUCCAUUCAUUCAGAUAUUUAAUUACUUAUUCAUUUAUUUUCCAUUAAUUCAGCAAACCUUUAUAAAACAUCUAUCUAUAUAAUUGAGGAGGGUAAGGUGUGAGAAUAAAUAUGAAUAAAACAUGGUCUCUAUCUUCAAAGACAUCACAUUUGUAUUCAGGAGUUUAUUAAAACUGGUUUCUGGUUCUGUUCUCUUUCUUCCACUUACAAUUUGCUUUGCCCUGCCACCCCUAUUUCCCCUUGGUAUUGACCUCAUUUCCCACACUUGGGCCACUGUGAACUCUAAUCGCCUAUAAUUUUUUUCAUUGGUGUCCCAUGCCAAUUUAUGUAUACUAGUAAUCAACUAAACUUCAGUGGUUCUAGCACCUCACCCUUCUCACACACCAAACUACGCCUCAUAUCAGAACAAUACUCUGAUUUCCCUUUGGGAGAAUUCUCUUCACCCCACUGAAUACAGUCUAUUUCAUGUUCUAUUCAAUACAAUCUGCCAACCAAGGUAUGUGGCUGUUCCCUAGCCAAAGAAUGAGCAAGUGACCGAAGCUAAACCAAUCAGUUGUUCUUCUUGGAAUUUAGGUCACCAACAGAAUGAAAAAAAAAAGGACUGAAAGUAUUGCUGAGAUAUAUAUAGGCUGUAAGUCUGGGACAAGGCUAAUUGCAGGGACCCAUAGCUACACUGGUUUUUGCCCAGUUCUCCUGUCUUCCCUUGGAAUCCGGGAGCUCCUACCCUACCCCUACCAUAAUUACUCUAUUGAGUUUCUUUUCUGUUGGAUCACCUGAGCUUCUGUCUGUUGUUUCUAAACAGAAAACCUAGUUGAUAGUCUAUUUGUGAUGUCUUUGGACAUCUAAGGAUUGUGUGCAGAGUCUUGCCUCCAACAUUUUCAUGGAAACCCUGGGAAACAUCUUGUAUGUACAUUCAGUCCUUGCAAAUGAUGGUGGAGCCUCAGGGCAUGAUGGGUCCAACUGCCUCCUGAAGCAGACCUCCACUGCUCAGCUAAACUUCUCACGUGUCAAAGCUGGCUCUGACCUCCUGGGACCUUCAUAAACCAAAACUUCACUGUGUUCCUUGCCAACAUGGCAUGAAAAUUUACCGAUAGUGAUGUUUUACUAUGUGGUGUUGCCUCUUUCCCCAGUGUCUUAGAGAUACGUAAUAAAAUAGAACUUC